CAUUGCACUUGGUUUUUCUUGGUCUGCCCCUUGGUUUUUUCAGACUUGGUUCUGCGUGAUCAUCAGUAGUUGCAGGUUUUAUCUUUCUUGGUCUCCCCCUUGGUUUUUUCAGACUUGGUUCUGCAUGAUCAUCAGUAGUUGAAGGUUCUAUCUUUCUUGGUCUGCCCCUUGGUUUUUUCAGACUUGGCUCUGUGUAAUCAUCAGCAGCUGCAGAUUUUAUCUUUCUUGGUCUCCCCCUUGGUUUUUUCCAACUUGGUUCUGUGUGAUCAUCAGUAGUUGCAGGUUCUAUCUUUCUUGGUCUGCCCCUUGGUUUUUUCAGACUUGGUUCUGUGUGAUCAUCAGUAGUUGUCAC
rnacentral:lncRNA from 1 species